UUCCACAUUCCACAUUAUGUUUCUAACCUAAUUUCCUCUCCUGCUCCUCAAUCGCCGCCGAAGAAGAACAACACCAACAAUCGGAGGCACCACCCUAGAAAUUCUCCACAAUAACAAAUCUUCCUUCGAACCCAUCGUCUCCGAUAUCCUUUCCAUCAAAACAGAUGCUAAACCAAAACAACUCCUUCACGAUCUCGUCACUCAAAUGUUCCUUCCCUUCAUCACUCUCCGCCAGAUUUGAUUCCUUUGUUGAGGUACCAACAAAAGCUUCCCGUUGUCGAUUAUUUGUGCUAACAGGGAUUGGAAAAUAGGUCAAGCUUUUGGAUGUUGAUAUUAAUUAUUGAACGAUAUUUCUUCUUUUUAAUGUAUAUUUGAUGAUACAAUUACAAAGAAGAAUGACAAAGAACCGGAGCUGCAUAAAGAGAGAUUCAAAAAUAAGAAACAUGAAAAACAAGUUUAUGUUUCAUUGCCGCCUCCUCCACCACCGAAAAUCGUGGUCAUAUUGAUCAUUCUGCUAGAGUCAUGAAAGUGAUAACAUGGAAUAGGUCCUUCAAGGGUGUGUCAAACGGAGAGGGUGCUAAAGAUGAUUUUGAUUCAGAAGAGAAUGAAAUGCAUGCCACUGUUUUGGACAAGUUGUUAGCUUGGGAAAAGAAACUCUAUGAAAAGGUCAAGCAAAGGGAGCUUAUAAAGUUUGAAUAUCAAAGAAAAGUUCCAGUUCUGAACAAGCAGCCAGACGAUACUUUGACCCAGUUGGGUCAUAAACAUUUUUUGGCUGAUUCCUAAUAGGUCUAGCAGCCAGACGAAUUACUGUUCACGAUUUUACUAUUCACGUUUUUGGAAGAGCUUGUACGUUUGAUCAUGAAGAACUAAUUCCUAGAGGUUAAUCUGCUGUAAACGGUUUUCGCCGAUACUUUGAGGUUCUUAUAUUUUCUAAUUAAUCUAUUUCCUUUCAAUUCUAAUCUUUGAUAUGUUGUUUGCUUAAUUCGAUAUUAUCCAAGGUUAGAUUGAUUUAUUUUGAUGGUUGCAUGUUCCUAUACUUUAAUCGCGUUUGCUUAGU